rnacentral:lncRNA from 1 species
GCCUAAUUAUAUCUAAUAGAAUUGUUCAUUAAAUAAAUUGAAACGUUGUAUAAAAAAAAAGAUUUAAAAAUGAUAAACACAAUACACAAAAAUUAUGUAAAAGGAUACUUGAUAAGAUUAAACAGAGCAGCAAUGCCAGCAUAUCAAUAUGCAAAAUAAAAGGUAUAAAAAUAUGCUAAAAAUGAAAAAACAAUAUUAUUCAAAGUAUAUCUGAUAAAAAGGACAAGAGCUAAAAUAAUUAAAAUAUCCUAAAUAUUUGUCAGUUAAAUAAGAGCACUUGAAUAAAAUGGGAUUUAUAAUAGACACACUUGCAAAAAUUUCAAAUCAUUUGAGUUUUUACUCCACUUUAUCCCUAGUUCGACACUCACAGGACCAAGAACCUUCUGGAUGCUGUUCCAUAAAUGCAUUAUACUUGCCAAAAUAAGAGUGAAAACAACAAAUUGUUUCAAAUGCAUAUUCUUUAAUAAUGUCAAUACUUGGUUAGUACAUACACUACAAAUGCCAGAACCUACCACAACUAUGUCACUUAAUCAAGCUGCCAUGUCUCCUAUUAACAUAUGCUUUGUAUACUAUAAUAAUGUUGUUCUACACAACAAUCUCAU